rnacentral:rRNA from 1 species
GAUGAACGCUGGCGGCGUGCCUAAUACAUGCAAGUCGAGCGAACAGAUAAGGAGCUUGCUCCUUUUACGUUAGCGGCGGACGGGUGAGUAACACGUGGGUAACCUACCUAUAAGACUGGAAUAACUCCGGGAAACCGGGGCUAAUGCCGGAUAACAUUUAGAACCGCAUGGUUCUAAAGUGAAAGAUGGUUUUGCUAUCACUUAUAGAUGGACCCGCGCCGUAUUAGCUAGUUGGUAAGGUAACGGCUUACCAAGGCAACGAUACGUAGCCGACCUGAGAGGGUGAUCAGCCACACUGGAACUGAGACACGGUCCAGACUCCUACGGGAGGCAGCAGUAAGGAAUCUUCGGCAAUGGGCGAAAGCCUGACGGAGCAACGCCGCGUGAGUGAUGAAGGUCUUCGGAUCGUAAAACUCUGUUAUUAGGGAAGAACAAAUGUGUAAGUAACUGUGCACGUCUUGACGGUACCUAAUCAGAAAGCCACGGCUAACUACGUG